GCUGGGCAUUGUGGCGCGUGCCUGUAGUCCCAGCUACUUGGGAGGCCUGAGGCAGAAGAAUCGCUUGAACCUGGGAGGCUGAGAUUGCAGUGAGCCGAGAUUGUGCCACUGCACUCCAGCCUGGGUAACAGAGAGAGACUCUGUCUCAA
rnacentral:SRP_RNA from 1 species